rnacentral:rRNA from 1 species
UCCCAGACUCCUACGGGAGGCAGCAGUGAGGAAUAUUGGUCAAUGGGCGAGAGCCUGAACCAGCCAAGUCGCGUGAAGGAUGACGGCCCUACGGGUUGUAAACUUCUUUUGUCAGGGAGCAAUUGAGUCCACGUGUGGGCUUAGCGAGAGUACCUGAAGAAAAAGCAUCGGCUAACUCCGUGCCAGCAGCCGCGGUAAUACGGAGGAUGCGAGCGUUAUCCGGAUUUAUUGGGUUUAAAGGGUGCGUAGGCGGACGCUUAAGUCAGCGGUAAAAUUGCGGGGCUCAACCUCGUCGAGCCGUUGAAACUGGGUGCCUUGAGUGGGCGAGAAGUACGCGGAAUGCGUGGUGUAGCGGUGAAAUGCAUAGAUAUCACGCAGAACUCCGAUUGCGAAGGCAGCGUACCGGCGCCCAACUGACGCUGAAGCACGAAGGCGUGGGUAUCGAACAGGAUUAGAUACCCUAGUACC